rnacentral:rRNA from 1 species
AAGGAUCAUUACCGAGUUUUAACGGGCUCUGCUCGGCUCGACUCUCCCACCCUUUGUGAACGUACCUCUGUUGCUUUGGCGGCUUCGGCCGCCAAAGGACCUUCAAACUCCAGUCAGUAAACGCAGACGUCUGAUAAACAAGUUAAUAAACUAAAACUUUCAACAACGGAUCUCUUGGUUCUGGCAUCGAUGAAGAACGCAGCGAAAUGCGAUAAGUAAUGUGAAUUGCAGAAUUCAGUGAAUCAUCGAAUCUUUGAACGCACAUUGCGCCCCUUGGUAUUCCGGGGGGCAUGCCUGUUCGAGCGUCAUUACAACCCUCAAGCUCUGCUUGGAAUUGGGCACCGUCCUCACUGCGGACGCGCCUCAAAGACCUCGGCGGUGGCUGUUCAGCCCUCAAGCGUAGUAGAAUACACCUCGCUUUGGAGCGGUUGGCGUCGCCCGCCGGACGAACCUUCUGAACUUUUCUCAAGGUUGACCUCGGAUCAGGUAGUCGGAUACCCGCUGAACUUAA